rnacentral:lncRNA from 1 species
AUGCCAAGCCUCCUUCUUUAUGACCUUUGCCAUGGGCAGACUUCCUCACGCUGGCUCCCGGCACACAUGUUUGCCGCGGUUACAGCCUCUGGAAGGCUUGAAGGACGGAGCACACCCUGGCCUCCUUUGUCGCCCAGCCAGCACUUCAGGGAAAGAGAGGAGGGCACUUUGCUGUCUGGCCCACCCGCAGUUAGGUGCUGGAUGAGCCACACUCGUGUUCACAAGCGGCUGACGUGGCCAUGGGCCUGCCCGGCAGUCCACAUGGCUCCUCUCUGGGCACCUGCUCCUAGAUGGUGUGGUGCUCCCUGCCCUUGCUCUGGGCUCCUCCAGCCAGACCUGCCCUGUGAUACAUCUGCCAAGGGCAAGACCACCUUCACCAGCCUGGGGCAGGGGCUUCUCUCUGCGUGACCCGGACCUCCCAGCUCCCCUUGCUCCUGGGCUGCGGCCGAUCCUGCCACUGUGUGGGGCUGUCCACACAGCAGUGACUCAGGAGCAGCCACAGCCCUGCAGAAGUGGGACGUCCCCGCCACACGUGAGCACUGUGGACCCAUGCACCCGGGGGAGCUGGAGCUGGAUGUGUGAGGGGGCCCCGCGUUCAUGAUUGACUGGGUCUGGAUGAUCCGAACGUGAUGUAUAAACCUCAGGCUGGAGCUUGCUAAUCUGAAAAUCAGCACCACAAAAUCCUGGGAAAACCCUCAAACGGGAUUUGAAUGGAAUAGAAACUGGUCACUUCUGAGGGCCUGCUCUCCUCAGACUUGGAGAGAGGAGGAUGGAAGGAAGUGGCAGCGGCUGGGGGCGUUGGGCAGACCCGCCAACCCCUAGACCAGAGCCGACUCUGUGCCCGGCCCUGGACUUCAGACGCGUCCCAACGCCGGCUCCGCCAGCACUGAGUGGACCCAUCCCCGCGUUGGCGGCAGAGUUAGGUGGGGACUGCAGGCGUGCAUGCGGCCAGCCCGUGGACCCUCUGCACUGCGGGCCCGUCUCUGGCUGCCUUAGAGCUUGGGGACGUUCUGAUGCCUCCACUGGACCCAGGCCAGCGAAGGGAGAGGGGCGGGCCUGGCCUCACACUGAGAAGCCCCACCGCGGAAGCCUGUCUGCAGCGGCUGGGCUGCCAGGUUCGGACCAAGUGUCUGCUGCUGUGUCCUGGAGGCCAGACUGCUGGGGAAGCGGGUGAGGACACUCAGCUGCCCAUGAUGGACGGGCCCUCCGGGCGCUGGUCGUGCACACUGCAGGAGAGCCCUGUCCAGCAGAGAGGAGCUGCAGGAGCUCCAGUGGAAGUCUCUGCGCACCUUGUCGGCCCAGUGCCUGGGGGCAGAGUGGGGCGCUGUCCAGGAGCUGGGGUGAGGGGGCGUCUCUGGGGGGGCAGAGUGGGGCGCUGUCC